rnacentral:rRNA from 1 species
CCAGAGAACUUUCCAGAGAUGGAUUGGUGCCUUCGGGAACUCUGAGACAGGUGCUGCAUGGCUGUCGUCAGCUCGUGUUGUGAAAUGUUGGGUUAAGUCCCGCAACGAGCGCAACCCUUAUCCUUGUUUGCCAGCGAGUAAUGUCGGGAACUCCAGGGAGACUGCCGGUGAUAAACCGGAGGAAGGUGGGGACGACGUCAAGUCAUCAUGGCCCUUACGAGUAGGGCUACACACGUGCUACAAUGGCGCAUACAGAGGGCGGCCAACUUGCGAAAGUGAGCGAAUCCCAAAAAGUGCGUCGUAGUCCGGAUUGGAGUCUGCAACUCGACUCCAUGAAGUCGGAAUCGCUAGUAAUCGUGGAUCAGAAUGCCACGGUGAAUACGUUCCCGGGCCUUGUACACACCGCCCGUCACAC